rnacentral:lncRNA from 1 species
ACCCUGAUUCAGCAGAAGUAUGAAUAAAUACAAAGAAGGGAGUAAAUGAACAAUGAAAUCAAACACAAAGACAACGUGUUCAAUAGAGGAAUUAGUGUCGAUGAAAAGCUAAAACCAAAACUAAAGGAUUAGAAGCACGAAAUAAUACACCCGUGGAUUGGAAAACACACGAUUAUCAUGAACGAUAGGUUCAAAGCAGUCAAAGGAACAUGCAGCUAAGGCCAAUGUUGUGCCUAUGGAAGAAGAACAACUUGCUUCAGUCUCAAACAAGUUGAGGUAUAAGAAUUUACUAUUCCAUUUAAGCUCAACACAUGUCAUCAUCAUACCAAAUAAAAAUACAAGUGAAAAUAAGUUACAUAACAAAAAUAAUUAAAACCUUUUUCCAACUAGUAGAUAUGGCCUAUAUGAGUCUUGAUACUACAUUGUGUCCUAUCUUUAACCAAGUCUGCAUUGAUUCCAAGAAAUUAUAGGUCGUUCGAGACAACUUCUCUAGGUCUAUCUCAUCUCCUUUUAACACAUUGGUCACCAUGGUCUCACACCUACUAACCGGUACAUCUGGAGGUCGCUGCAACACGUUGAACCUAUGAAAGAAGUAGUCAUUAAAAAGUUCAAACCAUUUAUCAUUAACAACUCCUCCUAUUGUUUCUUCCCUUAAAAACCAAUUGUUGGAUGCACACCAAAACAACUUUGGGAAGGAAUAAUCCUCAAGGUGCCUAAUCAUUUGCUACCAUUUUUAUUUAAUAAUAGAUUAUGCCCAUAAUGCUUCUUUUUUUCUUAUCCAGAAAGCACAGCUGUAUAUGUCUAAGAGAAAAAUAUGAAUGAAUAUAGUAGGUCUCACCAUCCACCAUAUAACAUCAAAAUAAAUGAACCCCACAAGCUCAGAAAGUGGAUCUAUUGAAAUGCAAUCAUUACAUUCCAGAAGUCUUAAAAAGCUUCUGACUCCCAGUGUAUGUCAGUAACAGUUUCUUAGACAUCAAUAUAACAAAGUUAAAACUCACUUUAUGCCAGUAGCAUGUUGGAAAAUUGUACUGUGUAUAUAUAUUGGACACUUUAGGUGAAUUUCUUGGCUUUGCCACUGUUAAAUUCACUAAGCUACUAGUACUCUAGGAGUAAUAAAACUCAGUAAAAACCAUAUUGAUGAUGAAUUUUAUUAAGCUUCUCUUGUUUAACAUGUCCUCUGGAGAGGCUCAUACAAAUGAUGNNNNNNNNNNNNNNNNNNNNNNNNNNNNNNNNNNNNNNNNNNNNNNNNNNNNNNNNNNNNNNNNNNNNNNNNNNNNNNNNNNNNNNNNNNNNNNNNNNNNNNNNNNNNNNNNNNNNNNNNNNNNNNNNNNNNNNNNNNNNNNNNNNNNNNNNNNNNNNNNNAUUUCAAGACAACAAAGGUACAAGCACUAGAUAUUCAGAUAACGUACAGUUCUCAAUAACAGUCAGACCUCACUAUAUCAAAGACCUUCAACAACAUUUCACUAUAACGGGCAAGUUUUCUGUGGUACUGAUUUUUCAUGUUGUGUUAUAUUAUAUGUUCUCUAUAACAACAUUCCACUAUAGCAGUCAAAAAAAUCCGAACAAGCGAUGCAAUUAUAGAGAGGUUUGACUGUAUAUCAACCUUCUCAAGGAGAAAUGAAUGCAUAGUUCCACUAAUAUUAGGAAGUAAUCAAGUUCCCUAGAAUUGGAUUCAGAGUUCUUAUUUCAUACGAAAACCCAAAGAUAAUUUUUUAAAAAUUCUUUUUCAAUUUCACUCAACAGCCAAAAUCCAUAGCAACACACCUAGUGAAAUCUCACAAGUGGGGGUCUGGGAAGGGUAGGGAGAGUAGUGUACUCAGACCUUACCUCUAUCUCAAAGUUAGAGAGAAUGUUUCCGAUGGCCUCAAAAAAACAUUUCAAAACAGUCAACAACUAUAAACAAAAACAACAAAUAUUUUAAAAACAAAAACUAUAACAAAACAAUAAGAUAAUUGAGAUACAAAAAAUAUUGUAUAGUAACAGAAAUCGAAGAACAAAAAACUACAGUAGCAAUACUACGACAACUAAUAAAAUAAAAAAUCAAGAAGCUCACAUUGAUCACAGUAAAGACAACUUCCCAAGGCUGAAAAACACCAUCUUUCCAACCUGAAAAGUUACAAACACUCAGAAACUCCUCAUUCCAUUCAACAAGCCCUUCAUCUUCCUUCAACCACUCUUCUUUAGUAAAAUUCUUCUUUACACUUCUCCUAUUAAAUGACCCCAAAUUCAAUGAAAUACCCUUUGAUGAUCCCUUCCACUUAAUUUCAACUCUGAAUCUAUCAAAAUCUUGGACCCCCAUUUUCUCAUUUAACAAAAAGUUGAAACCUUUAAGGCAAUUAAUAGUAAUCUUAGCCUCGUAUUUAUUUGAUGAUAAUAAGGGUGAGCAUGACAUCCACUUCAUCAUCUUCACAACCAUAUUAUAUAUAUAAACUUUUUCACCCAGGUGUCGCCUAGCGGUCAAUGAAAUGAGUCACAACAGGUUCAAAUUCUAAUAAAGACAAGGUUCGAACUCUACGAUUAUCAAAUAUAUAUGUAUAUUUUUUUCACCGACACAAAACAAAAAAAUACCAAGAAAGAUCACUUUUUUUCUCAAAAAGACUUAAGGACUAGGAAUGUGCUUGUAGACACCGGGUGGUUUGGUACAUGAUGAAUAAACAGUAGUUACUAUAAAUAGGGAAAUAUAAUAAUUUUAAGAUAUAGUGCAUCCCAAGCUUUACGGUGAGAAAAUGAUUAAUUUCCUUAUAUGGCAUAUUAAAACAACUUCUCUAUAUCUUAUAUUAUUUCGAUUUAUUUUUAUUUGUCACGCUUGAUUUUGUUUUUUUUUUUUACUUUUUACAUGAGGUAUAAGAGGUCGAAUAUAAUGGGUAUGAGGAAAGACGGGGGAAGCUUGCUAAUAGUGAGGGGGUUCAUCCAAACUCCCUUCCGCAGAAUAUUAUACUACUAUUUAUACAAGUUUAAAAUGAUUUUUCAUGUAUAUAUAGCAGACGUUGAACCCCCUUCGACUAGUUCUUUAGUCCAUAUUUUUUGAUUUUGAACCCCCUUAGUUAAGAUUGAGGAAAGGUUGAUAUAGGUCGGUGAUAUAUUGAAGAGAGAUGAUUAGAUAGGACAUAGUGUAAUUUUUUACUUUGCGAGAGUUAAUUUAACUAAUAUUCGGUUUAAAUUGAAUUUAUUUAAAAUUCAAAUGUUUGAUAACUAUACGAAAGAAUACUACUUCUUCGGAUUCAAUUUAUUAUCUGGUUUUGAUUUGACAUUGAGUUUAAAAAAGUAAAGAAUAUUUUAAAAUUUUGCAAUUAAAUUAUGUCUUUUACUUGUGUGGUUCACUUUUAUUUGUCACGUUCGACUUUGUCUAUUUUUACUUUUCAAGAAAGCUAUGAGAGGUUGGAUAUAAUGAACACGAGGAGAGGUUGAUGUAGGUCAAUGAAGUAUUGGAGAACAUAGAUUAGAAAAGAUAUAGUAUAACAAAAUUUAUUUUAAAAAAUUCAAAUGUUUAAAAACUAUAGAGAAAAUCUACUUUUAUUGUUUCAAUUUGUUUGUUUGAUUUUGACUUGACAUGAAAUUUAAGAAAAACGAAGAAUAUUUUAAUUCUUGUGGCCGGAGUCCUACACUAAAUAUAUGUAGAAUAUAUCAACAUAUCAUUUAAUCUUGUUGUGUUAAACAUAUCGUGUGGAGAGUUAAAGCAUUAUCAAAAAAUAAAGCAUAUAUUUUAAACAACUAAAAAGAAACGUACGGCAAAUAGAUUAAAACAGAGGGAGUAGAAUAAGUUGUAAUCCUUUUCGUAUAAAUAUAAUUAAAAAAUAUAUUUUAAAAUUUUGAUCAACAUCAAUGCAAUUUAAUUCUCAAGGAAUAAAAUAUGACAAGUAAAUCAAACGAAUAGAAUGAUAAUUUUAUACAUACAUAAAUUUAUAAUAUAUUAAAAGUGUGAAGACCCUUAAAAAAAUUGAUUUGAACUUUUGCCCUUCAUUAAAAGACUUUCUUUAGACAAAACUGUAUUUUCACUAUUUUUUAAAUUUAUUAUUUAUUUAUUGUUUAUUAUAUUGACUAGAAUUCCUAAAAUAUAUGGGACGCCUAAAAUAUAUGGUAGGAGAAUUAAUUAAUAUUUUUCUUUCUACUGUUCAAGUAGAAAAAUACUCCUAAAAUAUGACUAAUUUAUUAUUUAAUUAUUUUUUAUUAUAUUAACUAGACUUCCUAAUAUAUGGGACUCCUAAAAUAUAUGGUAGGAGAAUUAAUUACUAUUUUUUUCUUUCUACUGUUUGAUUAGAAAAAUACUCCUAAAAUAGGAUUCUAUUAAGGAAAUACUCUAUAAAUUUUAAUUAUCUUAUUAUUUUACUUUAAUUUACAGAUGUUAGCUAAAUGUGUGUCGGCUUUGAAUUUUUUUUUAGGUAAAUGUUAGGUUUAAUUGUAUUAUCGUAAUAUCUAUAUUAAAUUUAUUAUUUUGUGGUAAUUUACAGUUCGUAGAUGAAUGUCGAUCGGUUUUAAGAAAUUUUUAUGUGUAAAAUUUAAGUUUAAUAAUAUUAUUUUUAUAUCACUUUUAUCGUAUUAUUUUGUUGUAAUUUACAGGUGAUAGAUAAAUAUUGGUCAGCUUUGAGAAAUUUUUUAUGUAAAAGUUAGGUUUAGUUGUAUUAUUUUGAUAUCUCUAUUAUUGUAUUACUUUAUUAUUGUUUACAGAUGUUAGGUGAAUGUCGAACGACUUUGAGAAAUUUUUUGUGUGUAAAGAUUAGAUUUAGUUGUGUUAUUUUGAUAUCUCAAUCAUUAUAUUAUUUUGUUAUAAUUUAUAGAUGGUAGAUGAAUGUCGAUCGACUUUUAAAAAUAUUUUGGUAAAGAUUAGGUAUAAUAAAUAAAUUCUUCAUCUUUACAUACUCAAAAGAUAUUAGUUUUUUUCUUCAUUUUUUCUUUUCCUUUUUUUGUUUUCUCUUCUUUCUUUCUUUUUUCAAAUUUUUCUUUCUCGUUAUCUUUUUUCCAUUUUGUCUUUUUUUUUUCUUUUUUUUUUUUUGUUUUUUUCCCCUAUUUUCUAUUACUCUUUUCUUUUUUUUUUUCCAAUUUUUUCCUUCAUUUUUUCUUUUCCUUUUUUUGUUUUCUCGUUUUUCUUUCCUUUUUCAAUUUUUUUCUUUUUCGUUGUCUUUUUUUCAUUUUAUCCUUUUUUUUUUCUUUUUCUUCUUUUCCUUUUCAAUUUUUCUCUUUUUUUCUCUAUUUUCUAUUACUGUUCUUCUUUGUUUGUAUUUUUCUCGUUUUUUCUUCUUUUUUUUUUCUUUUUCUCUUUCUUUUCAUUUGUGCGAACUAGCAAACACAAAUACAAGUGUGAACUAUAAAAUAUAAAUACAAAGACGAAUUAUAACAUACAAAUACAAGUGGGAACUAUAAAAUACAAAUAUAAAUGCGAAUUAUAACAUAUAGAUACAAGUGUGAACUAUCAUUUAUAUUUUUUAAUUAUUGAAAAGGAACGAUUGAUUUUCUUUUUACGAAUAUUUAUUUGUAUUUAUUUAUACGAGUUGUAUUUAUUGAUACAAAUAAAUACAAUUCAAUUUUUUUACAAAAAAUACAAUAUAUACAAAUACAAUAUCUAUUUGUAUUUUUAAAAUUAUUGGUUUUAUUUGUUUGUAAUUGUAUUUGUAUCAAGUGAUAUUUAUUUAUUUACAAAUACGAAUAGAAUAGAAUAUUUUAUAUUUUGAAAGUGAAUACAACGGCUGUGAAUAGAAUACAACAGCUAAAUGAUACUGUAUUUGUAUUUUAUAUUUUAUAUGAAUACAUACUAUUGAUAAAGUUGAAUACAACGGGUGUAAAUUGAAUAUAGCGGCUAUAAAUGAUAAUUAUAUAAUAUAUGGCUAUGAAAGGUGAGUUUUCCAGCAAAAUGUAGCAAUUUUUGAAAGAUCCCCUUUUUAUUAUAUUAACUAGAAUCCUAAAACAUAUGGACUCCUAAAAUAUAUGAAAGGAAAAUCAAUUAAUAUUUUCGUUUGUACUGAUCAAUUAGAGAAAUACUCCUAAAAUAGUAUAGAAAAAUUCUCCUAAAAUAGGAUUCCAUUAAGUAAAUACUUCUAUAAAUAUUAAGAUGCACGUUAAACUAGAGAAAAAACCAAUUUACUUAUUGGAUAAAUAUGAUAGAUGCUCAUCUAACUUGAUUCGGUUGCAUGUCUAGAUUCGUGGAUGCUCAAUUUUCUAACCCUCAACUUCUUCACUAUUUUUGUCAACAUAAUAAAAUUCAAUGUGUGUGUAUAUAUAUAUAUCUUCUUUGCUUUCAUUCAAGUCAUUCUUUAGUGUCAAAAUUUUUGCUCAGACAAGAAUUAUUUACAUCAAAACUGAAGUUUUGUGAUCACUAUUGUAUUAUUUUGUUGUAGUUUACAGGUUGUAGAUGAAUUUACAGGUGGUAGAUGAAUGUUGGUCGGCUUUGAGAAUUUUUUUUGGGUGAGGGUUAGGUUUAAUUGCAUUGUUUUUAUAUCUCUGUUUUGCAAAAUUUUUUUGCGUAAAGGUAAAGUUUAGUUGUAUUAUUUUGAUAUCUCUAUUGUCAUAUUAUUUUGUUAUAGUUUACAGGUGAUAGACGAGUGUCGGACGGCUUUGAAUUGUGUAAAGGUUAGAUUUAAUUAUAUUGUUUUGAUGUCUCUAUCAUCUUAUUGUUUUGUUGCUGUUUAUAGGUGGUAGAUGAAUGUCGAUCGGCUUUGAGAAAUUCUUUUGGUAAAGGCUAGGUUUAAUUAAAUCAAUUCUCCAAAAGAUGUUAAAUUUAAUUAUUGUAUUUAUCUUUAUUAUUUAAACAAAUUUGAACUCGAUAAAGUGAGGUACACUAAACUAGUUUUAUAAUACAUGGUAACCCACUUUUACUAAUAUUAUUUACAACAGUGGCUUUUAUGGCUUUGAUUAUUUUUUUUGAGAUAAGCAUCCAGUAUUGCCUCAAACUAUGGUAAAAUUUGUUACAACACACUCCAACUUCACAGAGAUCCUAUUACCCCUGAACUCAAUUUUAGCAAAUUUUUGUCACUCUUUUGUGCUGACGUAGCAUGUUUGUUAUAUAAAAGGGGCUCCACGUCAAAGAUGUCACGUCAGCUAAAAAGAUUGACAAAAGAUGUUACGGCAGCACAAAAGAGUGAUAAAAAUACGCUAUAAUUGAUUUCAGGGGUAAUUGGAUCCCCUGAAUUUGGAGUGUGUCGUAGCAAAUUUGAUCAUAGUUUAGGGUAGUAGAUGCUUUACUCUAUUUUUUGAAAAAACUUGGUUUGAAUUUAGAUGCAGCCUAUUUAGAAGAAGAAAGAAGUAUACAAUGACUAUUGUUGUCUAAAAAUUUUCUUUGAAAAGUAACUUUUGUUCUUGUUUAAAAGAACUACAAUGCUUUAUUUAUAACUCUUGACUAAUGGUCUAGCUCUGCAUCUGCAAGGGGGUGUAAUAUAGACGACCUACCCUUAUGCAAGCUGAUUCUAUGGCCCCAUUCCAAUGACUUAUAGGUCACAAAGCGACACAUAAGUAAGUAGCCUACCCUAACACUGCUUCCAAUGCUCAAACCUGUGACCUAUAGAUCACAUGGAGAAUUGCGUAACCGCCACCAUCAACAACUGAUUCCACGACACAAACCUAUGACUGGCAUAUAUUUAAGCAACCUAUUUGGAUGUGCAAGUACCAGUGUGACUUCGUAGCUCGAACUCGUGAGCUAUAAGUCACACGUAAACUUUAUUGUCAGCCUAUCCUGCUGUUCAGGUACCAAUGAGUGAUUUGGAUGACUCGAGUUCACGCACAAUUGUCCUUGCUCCAAAGAUAGAGAAAAAUGAUUAUCCUAAUGUACACAGUGUGAUGGUGCAGUAUACUUUCUUAAUUCUUACUAUUGAAAAGGGCAGCCCGCUGUGCUAUAGCUCCCGCUAUGCACAGGGUUUGUGGAAGGGCCCCACCACAAGGGUGUAUUGUACGCAGUCUUACCUUGUAUUUCUGGUAGUUACCUUGACCAGGAGGUCACAUGACAACAACUUUACCGAUUAAUCCAAGGCUCCCCUUCAAAAGAAGCGUCGACGAAAAUCGUUUGACUGGUGAAGGGGAAGAAUACCUUCAACUACUAGGGUUGGUUUUCAAAUAAAAAUAAAACAAUAAUAAUCAAGAGGAGUAUAGAACUAAUGUGUUCAUUUAUCUCAACUUCUCUCUUUGAGAGAACCAUAGAAAAGUACUCUUGAGCAGUUCCAUAGUCAUUUACAUUAACAUUAGCAUUCCUCGAGUACGAAGAAGAAAAGACAAAGAAUAUACCGACGAGCUAGUUACACUCAUAUAUACGAAUGAAAACAAAGAAGAGACUCUCCAGCUCAAAAUUCCUAAAUGGUAUGUAGAACAAAUAGGAUUAGUGCUAUGUAUAUACUCUUAAAGCUUUACCAAUCAUUGCUUAUUCUGCUGCUGCCAAUGGUACUUUGGCCAAACUGUUAGCAAUCAGUUCUUCUGAAGACGACUCCUCAAACUUGGGGACAAAGCUCAUCGUGUAGUGGAACUCUAUUUGUAGGCGCUGAUGAAGGGGUGUCGAUGCCAUCAAUCCUUUCUUUACAUCAACUUGUAACUCCCUAAUAGGGAUUGCUGCCAAAAAACUCUUAAUGUACUCUUUACAUGCCUCUUUACCUUUAUAAAUGAUGUUCUUUUCAGGUACCCUGUCUUCCUGCAUACUGUCGUCGCUGUUGGUGCUCAUGAAAAUUUUGCUUUCAUCCGCAGCCUCUUUGACAUCGGUUUUCUGUUUUCUAUCGCAAGAUGGCUUAUCAUCUGGUUGUUGAGACUCACUAGGUGCUUGCAUAAUUGUUGUAUCUUGGUCAAAUUUGAGGAUAUAUGCCUGAUUACAACCCUCAAAAAGUAUCUCCCCAAGUGUGUCAUUGAUAUAGUACUCGUCUUUUUCAACCUUGAGGAUAAAGAAGUGGUCAUUCUAACUCACAAUGUAAACACAGGAGAUGCCAUGAUGAGGAGUUUCUUGAGUGGACUUAGAAAUCUCAUCCCAUAUGUUGUCAAAAGACGUGGAACCAUGAAGGAAGUGGAAUCCUUCCUCUUCUUCGAUUCCUUCGGGAUGAAAGAACCCAAUGAAUGAUUUUUCUGAGACUACUGAGAGUGGACGCACUUUAGCCUCGAGAACUGUCACGAGGUCAAAAUGCUUAUAUGGAAAACGUUCCCUAUAGGUCUCGUUUUCACAAAGAUCCCUCCACUGCAUCGAGCCUUCACAGAUAAGAGAAUCAAGUUGGGAUUUGAUGGGCAUAUCUUCAGGAUUGCAGUGGAACCAAUCAGCUAUGACAGCAACCAAGUUUGUACAAGCGCUUUCACCAGUAGCUCGUUUACUUCGUUGAUCAAUCAAAGCAAAGAAUAUCGAAGUCUGCAGCUUCAUUUGUCCGUCAUGGCUUAUUAUUUCUUUUUGCUCCCAACUACCCACAGCAAAACUUUCAUCUCAAAACUUAGAGACUGAAAUCGGAGAAGUUUCCUCAGAUUUGUGCCCCUGUAUGAACUACACACAUUAGUAAGAGGACUAGUUAUGACAUAUAUCGUCAAUCAUGAAUAAGAAAACCUCAGCAGUUAGAUACUUGAUACAACUGUACAAGUAGACUAAGCUACUAAAGAAAGCUACCAAACUUUGUAAUCUUCAAUUCGGCAAGCACAUUAGUGUACAAGUUAUUGCACGUUGAUCAGACCAUGACAUGAAGAUAAAAAAUGACUCAUCAAACAUAACAAAGAAAGCAAGAAAAAAAGAGACGUACCCUAGAAGAAGACUCGUUAGAUGAGCAAAGCUGUCGGCGAUCAAAGUCUAUAUCAUCUGCACCAUCCUCUCCAUAAUGUUUCUUCAACAAUGGCUCCCCCUUGGUUUUAGGAUAUUUUAAACUCAACUUCCUCUUCCUCCAGGAAAGAAGACUACAUUUUGAACUCUGCUCUGCAGAUUGAUUUGCUGCAGUUUUAUCCUCAGGGUACUUGUGCUUUGUGUCUGAAAUAUGAUGGCUGUAGUGGACUAAAUCCUCGUUACUACUGCUGCCGCUUGUAUUUGAACAAAAUGAUCCACCAGCAUGGUCUGUAUAGACGGGUGCUUCAUAACUGAAUAACUUCUGAACACUUGUAUCCUCUUUUCCUUUCUCAGAUUCUCCUACCGAAUCCUCAUCAAGUUAAUCGGUAUCCACAGGAUAAACAUAAUCGGGAUCCUCACUUCUGACUGAGUUCCUUCCAUCACUGCUGCUACCUUCCUCUGCAUGAUAUGCCUUUUUGUGUCGCCUAAAAGAUAAUGAUUUCCAAAAUUUAACCUUUUGUAGACCUGCUUUUAAAGAACCACCCCCAUUUCUGUCUGUCAACAAAGCCUUUCCAGGGUUUGGAGAUACUGGAGCAGACAUGAUAAACUUCAGAAAUAUCUCUGAAGCUUCGUGAGUGUUCCUCAAUUCCACAAGGUUGAGCACUAGCUGUCAACAAAUAUAUGAACAUAUCUUUAGGAAACAGUUGCAUUAGAUAAUAUAUUCACGUAGCUGCAGGAAUACAAGAACGCAAACAAAAAGCAUGUGUUUUAGUUUCUCUUAAACAGAGUGAAAGGCAAUUCUUGAAGCUGCCAACAGAGACUUUCAAGGGAACAAAAUUUUCAAUGCACUCUUGUUUAUCUCUAGCUACUGAAGCAAAGUCUGCAAGAUUCAAUGUCGCAGCAGAAAGUAUGGGUACCUUCUGAUUUGGUCCUUUGCUUGUACCCUGAUUCAGCAGAAGUAUGAAUAAAUACAAAGAAGGGAGUAAAUGAACAAUGAAAUCGAACACAACGACAACUUGUUCAAUGGAGAAAUUAGUGUCGAUGAAAAGCUAAAACCAAAACUAAAUGAUUAAAAGCACGAAAUAAUACACCCAUGGAUUGAAAAACACACGAUUCUCAUGAACGAUAGGUUCAAAGCAGUCAAAGGAACAUGCAGAUAAGGCCAAUGUUGUGCCUAUGGAAGAAGAACAACUUACUUCAGUCUCAAACAAGUUGAGAUAUAAGAAUUUACUAUUCCAUUUAAGCUCAGCACAUGUCAUCAUCAUACCAAAUAAAAAUACAAGCAAAAAUAAUUUACAUAAAAAAAAUAAUUAAAACCUAUUUCCAACUAGUAGAUAUGGCCUAUAUGAGUCUUCAUACUACAUUGUGUAUGAUCUCAUGACCUCCUGGUCACAUGGCAACAACUUAACCGGUUAAUCCAAGGCUCCCCUUCAAAAGGGGCGUCGACGAAAAUCGUUUGACUGAUGAAGGGGAAGAAUACCUUCAACUACUAGGGAUGGUUUUCAAAUAAAAACAAAACAAUAAUAAUAAUCAAGAGGAGUAUAAAACUAAUGUAUUCAUUUAUCUCAACUUCCCUCUUUGAGAGAACCAUAGAAAAGUACUCUUGAGCAGCUCCAUAGUCAUUUACAUUAGCAUUAGCAUUCCUCGAGUACGAAGAAGAAAAGACAAAGAAGAUACCGACGAGCUAGUUACACUCAUAUACGAAUGAAACAAAGAAGAGACUCUCUAGGUCAAAAUUCCUAAAUGGUAUGUAGAACAAAAUGAAUUAGCGCAAUAUAUAUACUAGUAAAGCUUUACCAAUCGUUGCUUAUUCUGCUGCUGCCGAUGGUACUAUGGACAAACUAUUAGCAAUCAGUUCUUCUGAAGAUGACUCCUCAAACUUGGGGACAAAGCUUAUUGUGUAGUGGAACUCGAUUUGUAGGCGCUGAUGAAGGGGUGUCGAUGCCAUCAAUCCUUUAUUUACAUCAACUUGUAACUCCCUAAUAGGGAUUGCUGCCAAAAAACUCUUAAUGUACUCUUUACAUUCAUCUUUACCUAUAUAAAUGAUGUUCUUUUCGGGUACCCUGUCUCCCUACAUACUGUCGUCGCUGUUGGUGCUCAUGACAAUUUUGCUUUCAUUCGCAGCCUCUUUGACAUUGGUUUUCUCUUUUCUAUCGCAAGAUGGCUUAUCAUCUGAUUGUUGAGACUCACUAGGUGCUUGCAUAAUUGUUGUAUCUUGGUCAAAUUUGAGGAUAUAUGCCUGAUUACCACCCUCAAAAAGCCUCUCCCCAAGUGUGUCAAUGAUAUAGUACGCGUCUUUUUCAACCUUGAGGAUAAAGAAGUGGUCAUUCCAACUCACAAUGUAAACACAGGAGUCGCCAUGACGAGGAGUUUCUUGAGUGGACUUAGAAAUCUCAUCCCAUAUGUUGUCAAAAGACAUGGAACCAUGAAGGAAGUGUAAUCCUUCCUCUUCUUCGAUUCCUUCAGGAUGAAAGAACCCAAUGAAUGAUUUUUUUGAGAUGACUGAGAGUGGACGCACUUUAGCCUCGAGAACUGUCUCGAGGUCAAAAUGCUUAUCUGGGAAACAUUCCCUAUAGGUCUUGUUUUCACAAGAUCCGUCCACUGCAUCGAGCCUUCACAGAUAAGAGAAUUAAGUUGGUACUUGAUAGACAUAUCUUCAGGAUUUCAGUGGAACCAAUCAGCUAUGACAGCAACCAAGGUUGUACAAGCGCUUUAAACAGCAGCUCAUUCAUUUCAUUGAUCAAUUGAAGCAAAGAGGAUCUGAGUCUGCAGCUUUAUUUGUCCAUCACGGCUUAUUAUUUCUUUCUGCUCCCAACUACCCACAGCGAAACUUUCAUCUCCAAACUCAGAGACUGAAAUCGGAGAAGUUUCCUCGGAUUUGUGCCCUGCAUGAACUACACACAUUAGUAAGAGGACUAGUUAUGACAUAUAUCUUCAAUCAUGAACAAGAAAACCUCAGCAGUUAGAUACUUGAUACAACUGUACAAGUAGACUAAGCUACUAAAGAAAGCUACCAAACUUUGUAAUCUUCAAUUCAGCAAGCACAUUGGUGUACAAGUUAUUGCACGUUGAUCAGACCAUGACAUGAAGAUAAAAAAUGACUCGUCAAACAUGACAAAGAAAGCAAGAAAAAAGGAGACGUACUUUAGAAGAAGACUCUUUAGAUGAGCAAAGCUGUCGGCGAUCAAAGUCUAUAUCGUCUGCACCAUCCUCUCCAUAAUGUUUCUUCAACAAUGGCUCCCUCUUGGUUUUAGGAUAUUUGAAACUCAACUUCCUCUUCCUCCAGGAAAGAAGACUACGUUUUGAACUCUGCCCUGCAGAUUGAUUUACUGCAGUUUUAUCCUCAGGGUACUUGUGCUUUGUGUCUGAAAUAUGAUGGCUGUAGUGGACUAAAUCCUCGUCACUGCUGCUGCCGCUUGUAUUUGAACAAAAUGAUCCACCAGCAUGGUUUGCAUAGACGGGUGCUUCAUAACUGAAUGACUUCUAAACAAUUGUAUCCUCAUUUCCUUCCUCAGAUUCUCCUACCGAAUCCUCAUCAAGUGAAUCUGUAUACAUAGGAUAAACAUAAUCGGGAUCCUCACUUCUGACUGAGUUCCUUUCAUCACUACUGCUCCCUUCCUCUGCAUGAUAUGCCUUUUUGUGUCGCCUAAAAGAUAAUGCUUUCCAAAAUUUACCCUUUCGCAGACCCGCUUUUAAAGAACCAUCUCCAUUUCUGUCUGUCAACAAAGCCUUUCCUGGGUUCGGAGAUACUGGAGCAGACAUGAUAAACUUCGGAAAUAUCUCUGAAGCUUUGUGAGCGUUCCUCAAUUUCACAAGGUUGAGCACUAGCUGUCAACAAAUAUAUGAACAUAUCUUUAGGAAACAGUCGCAUUUGACAAUAUAUUCACAUAGCUACAGGAAUACAAGAACACAAGCAAAAAGCAUGUGUUUUAGUUUCUCUUACACAGAGGGAAAGGCAACUCUUGAAGCUGCCAAUAGAGACUUCCAAAGGAAUGAAAAUUUCAAUGCCCUCUUGUUUAUCUCCAGCUACUGAAGCAAAGUCUGCAAGAUUCAAUGUCGCAGAAGAAAGUACGGGUACCUUCUGAUUUGGUCCUUUGCUUAUACCCUGAUUCAUUAGAAGUAUGAAUAAAUACAAAGAAGGGAGUAAAUGAACAAUGAAAUCAAACACAAAGACAACGUGUUAAAUAGAGGAAUUAGUGUCGAUGAAAAGCUAAAACCAAAACUAAAUAAUUAGAAGCACGAAAUAAUACACCCGUGGAUUGGAAAACAAACGAUUAUCAUGAACGAUAGGUUCAAAGCAGUCAAAGGAACAUGCAGAUAAGGCCAAUGUUGUGCCUAUGGAAGAAGAACAACUUGCUUCAGUCUCAAACAAGUUGAGGUAUAAGAAUUUACUAUUCCAUCUAAGCUCAACACAUGUCAUCAUCANNNNNNNNNNNNNNNNNNNNNNNNNNNNNNNNNNNNNNNNNNNNNNNNNNNNNNNNNNNNNNNNNNNNNNNNNNNNNNNNNNNNNNNNNNNNNNNNNNNNNNNNNNNNNNNNNNNNNNNNNNNNNNNNNNNNNNNNNNNNNNNNNNNNNNNNNNNNNNNNNNNNNNNNNNNNNNNNNNNNNNNNNNNNNNNNNNNNNNNNNNNNNNNNNNNNNNNNNNNNNNNNNNNNNNNNNNNNNNNNNNNNNNNNNNNNNNNNNNNNNNNNNNNNNNNNNNNNNNNNNNNNNNNNNNNNNNNNNNNNNNNNNNNNNNNNNNNNNNNNNNNNNNNNNNACGUUGAACCUAUGAAAGAAGUAGUCAUUAAAAAGUUCAAACCAUUUAUCAUUAACAACUCCUCCUAUUGUUUCUUCCCUUAAAAUCCAAUUGUUGGAUGCACACCAAAACAACUUUGGGAAGGAAUAAUCCUCAAGGUGCCUAAUCAUUUGCCACCAUUUUUAUUUAAUAAUAGACUAUGGCCAUAAUGCUUCUUUUUUCCUUAUCCAGAAAGCACAACUGAAUAUGUCUAAGAGAAAAAUAUGAAUGAAUACAGUAGGUCUCACCAUCCACCAUAUAACAUCAAAAUAAAUGAACCCCACAAGCUCAGAAAGUGGACCCAUUGAAAUGCAAUCAUGACAUUCCAGAAGGCUUAAAAAGCUUCUGACUCCCAGUGCAUGUCAGCAACAGUUUCUUAGACAUCAAUAUAACAAAGUUAAAACUCAGUUUACGCCAGUAGCAUGUCAAAAAAUUAUACUGUGUAUAUAUAUUAGACACUUUAGGCGAAAUUCUUGGCUUUGCCAUUGUUAAACUCACUAAGCUACUAGUACUCUAGGAGUAAUAAAACUCAGUAAAAACCACCAUAUUGAUGAUGAAUUUUACUAAGCUUCUCUUGUUUAACAUGUCCUCUGGAGAGGCUCAUACAAAUGAUGCUGCAAUAUAUUGAAUCACCAUGAUCAAAUAAUCAAAACUAAGCAUCAACCUAACCAAUAAAAGAAAAAAAUAAGUAUCCUAAUUUGCGGAAAUUCAAGAAAUUUAUCAUCCCAAGAAGUUAUAUAACAUAACCAGGAUUCAUAAAACAAUACAAAUAGCACCCUAUUUCAAGACAACAAAGGUACAAGCACUAGAUAUUCAUAUAACGUACAUUUCUCAAUAACAGUCAGACCUCACUAUAUCAGAGACCUUCAACAACAACAUUUCACUAUAACGGGCAAGUUUUCUGUGGAACCGAUUUUUCAUGUUGUGUUAUAUUAUAUGUUUUCUAUAACAACAUUGCACUAUAGCAAUCAAAAAAAUCUGAUUUUUCAAAGUUAGAGAGAGUGUUUCCGAUGGCCGAAAAAAACAGUUCAAAACAGUCAACAACUAGAAACAAAAACAACAAAUAUUAUAAAAACAAAAACUAUAACAAAAUAAUAAGAUAAUUGAGAUACAAAAAAUAUUGUAUAGUAACAGAAAUCGAAGGACAAAAAACUACAGGAGCAAUACUACGACGAAUAAUAAAAUAAAAAAUCAAGAAACUCACUGAAAUACCCUUUGAUGAUCCCUUCCACUUAAUUUCAACUCUUAAUCUAUCAAAAUCUUGGACCCCCAUUUUCUCAUUUAACAAAAAGUUGAAACCUUUAAGGCAAUUCACAGUAAUCUUAGCCUCAUAUUUCUUUGAUGAUAAUAAGGGUGAGCAUGACAUCUACUUCAUCAUCUUCACAACCUUAUUAUAUAUAUAUAAACUUUUUCAGCCACCCAACAGUGUCGCCUAGCGGUCAAUGAAAUGAGUCACAACUAUGACGUCACAGGUUCAAAUUCCAAUAAAGACAAGGCUCGAACACUACGAUUAUAAAAUAUAUAUAUAUAUGUAUAUUUUUUUCACCGACACAAAACAAGAAAAUAUCAAGAAAGAUCACUUUUUGUCUCAAAAAGACUUAAGGACUAGGAGUGUGCUUGUAGACUCCGGGUCGUUUGGUACAUGAUGAAUAAACAGUAGUUACUAUAAAUAGGGAAAUAAAAUAAUUUUGAGAUAUAGUGAAUCCCAAGCUUUAUGGUGAGAAAAUGAUUAAUUUCCUUAUAUGACGUAUCAUAACAACUCCUUUAUAUCUUAUACUAUUUCGAUUUACUUUUAUUUUUCACGCUUGAUAUCGUUUUUUUUUUUUACUUUUUACAUGAGGUAUAAGAGGUCGAAUAUAAUGGGUAUGAGGAAAGACGGGGGAAGCUAACUAAUAGUGAGGGGGUUCAUCCAAACUCCCUUCCGCAGAAUAUUAUACUACUAUUUAUGCAAGCUUAAAAUAAUUUUUCAUGUAUAUAUAGCAGACGUUGAACCCCCUUCGACUAGUUCUUUCGUUCAUAUUUUUUGAUUUUGAACCCCCUUAGUUAAGAUUGAGGAAAGGUUGAUAUAGGUCGGUGAAAUAUUGAAGAGAGAUGAUUAGAUAGGACAUAGUGUAAUUUUUUACUUUACGAGAGUUAAUUUAACUAAUAUUCGGUUUAAUUUGAAUUUAUUUAAAAUUCAAAUGUUUGAUAACUAUAAGAAAGAAUACUACUUCUUCGGAUUCAAUUUAUUAUCUGGUUUUGAUUUGACAUUGAGUUUAAAAAAAUAAAGAAUAUUUUUGAAUUUUACAAUUAAAUUAUGUCUUGUACUUGUAUGGUUAACUUUUAUUUGUCACGUUCGACUUUGUUUAUUUUUACUUUUCAAGAAAGCUAUGAGAGGUUGGAUAUAAUGAACACGAGCAGAGGUUGAUGUAGGUCAAUGAAGUAUUGGAGAACAUAGAUUAGAAAAGAUAUAGUAUAACAAAAUUUAUUUUAAAAAAUUCAAAUGUUUAAAAACUAUAGAGAAAAUCUACUUUUAUUGUUUUAAUUUGUUUUUUUUUUAAUUUUGACUUGACAUGAAAUUUAAGAAAAACGAAGAAUAUUUUAAUUCUUGUGGCCGGAGUCCUACACUAAAUAUAUGUAGAAUAUAUCAACAUAUCAUUUAAUCUUGUUGUGUUAAACAUAUCGUGUGAAAAGUUAAAGCAUUAUCAAAAAAUAAAGCAUAUAUUUUAAACAUAUAAAAAGAAACGUACGGCAAAUAGAUUAAAACAGAGGGAGUAGAAUAAGUUGUAAUCCUUUUUGUAUAAAUACAAUUAAAAAAUAUAUUUUAAAAUAUUGAUCAACAUCAAUGCAAUUUAAUUCUCAAGGAAUAAAAUAUGACAAGUAAAUCAAACGAAUAGAAUGAUAAUUUUAUACAUAGAUAUAUCUAUAAUAUAUUAAAAGUGUGAAGACCUUUAAAAAAGUGAUUUGAAUUUUUUGCCCUUCGUUAAAAGACUCUUCUUUAGAUAAAACUGUAUUUUCACUAUUUUUUAAAUUUAUUAUUUAAUUAUUUCUUAUUAUAUUAACUAGACUUCCUAAAAUAUAUGGGACUCCUAAAAUAUAUGGUAGGAGUAUUAAUUAAUAUUUUUCUUUCUACUGUUCAAGUAGAAAAAUACACCUAAAAUAUGACUACUUUAUUAUUUAAUUAUUUUUUAUUAUAUUAACUAGACUUCUAAAAUAUAUGGUAGGAGAAUUAAUUAAUAUUUUCCUUUCUACUCGAUUUUCGUAGGAGAAUUAAUUAAUAAUUUUCUUUCUAUUGUUUGAUUAGAAAAAUACUCAUAAAAUAGGACUCUAUUAAGAAAAUACUCUAUAAAUAUUAAUUAUUUUAUUAUUUUACUUUAAUUUACAGAUGUUAGAUAAAUGUGGGUCGGCUUUGAAUUUUUUUUACAUAAAUGUUAGGUUAAUUGUAUUAUCGUAAUAUCUAUAUUAAUUUGUUAUUUUAUGAUAGUUUACAGUUUGUAGAUGAAUCUCGAUUGGUUUUUAGAAAUUUUUAUGUGUAAAAUUUAAGUUUAAUUGUAUUAUUUUUAUAUCACUUUUAUCGUAUUAUUUUGUUGCAAUUUAUAGGUGAUAGAUAAAUGUUGGUCCGCUUUGAGAAUUUUUUUAUGUAAAAGUUAGGUUUAGUUGUAUUAUUUUGAUAUCUCUAUUAUUGUAUUACUUUGUUAUUGUUUACAGAUGUUAGGUGAGUGUCGAACGAUUUUGAAAAUUUUUUUGUGUGUAAAGAUUAGAUUUAGUUGUGUUAUUUUGAUAUCUCUAUCAUUAUAUUAUUUUGUUAUAAUUUAUAGAUGGGAGAUGAAUGUCGAUCGACUUCUAAAAAUAUUUUGGUAAAGAUUAGGUUUAAUAAAUAAAUUCUCCAUCUUUACAUACUUAAAAGAUAUUAGUUUUUUUCUUCCUUUUUUUUUUUGCUUUUUUUGUUUUCUCUUUUUUCUUUCUUUUUUCAAUUUUUUCUUUCUCGUUAUCUUUUUUCCAUUUUGUCUUUUUUUCUUCUUUUUAUUUUUCUUUUUUCUUUUUUUUUUGUUUUUGUACUGAUCAAUUGGAGAAAUAAUCCUAAAAUAGUAUAGAAAAAUACUUCUAAAACAGGAUUCCACUAAGUAAAUACUUCUAUAAAUAUUAAGAUUCACGUUAAACUAGAGAAAAAAUGAAUUUACUUAUUGGAAAAAUAUGAUAGAUGCUCAUCUAACUUGAUUCAGUUGCAUGUCUAGAUUCGUGGAUGCUUAAUUUUCUAGCCCUCAACUUCUUCACUAUUUUUGUCAACAUAAUAAAAUUCAACAUGUGUGUAUAUAUAUAUAUCUUCUUUGCUUUCAUUCAAGUCAUUCUUUAGUGUCAAAAUUUUUGCUCAGACAAGAAUUAUUUUCAUCAAAACUGAAAUUUUGUGAUCACUAUUGUAUUAUUCUGUUGUAGUUUACAGGUUGUAGAUGAAUUUACAGGUGGUAGAUGAAUAUUGGUCAGCUUUGAGAGGUUUAAUUGCAUUGUUUUUAUAUCUCUGUUUUGCAAAUUUUUUUGUGUAAAGAUAAAGUUUAGCUGUAUUAUUUUGAUAUCUCUAUUGUCAUAUUAUUUUGUUAUAGUUUAAAGGUGAUAGACGAGUGUCGGACGGCUUUGAAUUUUUUUGUGUGUAAAGGUUAGAUUUAAUUAUAUUGUUUUGAUGUCUCUACCAUCUUAUUGUUUUGUUGUUGUUUAUAGGUGGUAGAUGAAUGUCGAUCGGCUUUGAGAAAUUCUUUUGGUAAAGGCUAGGUUUAAUUAAAUCAAUUCUCCAAAAGAUGUUAAAUUUAAUUAUUGUAUUUAUCUUUAUUAUUUAAACAAAUUUGAACUCGAUAAAGUGAGGUACACUAAACUAGUUUUAUAAUACAUGGUAACCCACUUUUACUAAUAUUAUUUACAACAGUGGCUUUUAUGGCUUUGAUUAUUUUUUUGAGAUAAGCAUCCAGUAUUGCCUCGAACUAUGGUCAAAGUUGUUACGACACACUCCAACUUCACAGAGAUCCUAUUACCCCUGAACUCAAUUUUAGCAUAUUUUUGUCACUCUUUUAUGCUGAUGUAGCACGUUUAUUAUAUAAAAGCGGCUCCACGUCAAAGAUGCCACGUCGGCUAAAAAGAUUGACAAAAGAUGUUAUGGCAGCACAAAAGAGUGACAAAAAUAUGCUAUAACUGAGUUCAGGGGUAAUAGGAUCCCCUGAAUUUGGAGUGUGUCGUAGCAAAUUUGGUCAUAGUUUAGGAGUAGUAGAUGCUUUACUCUAUUUUUUGAAAAAACUUGGUUUGAAUUUAGAUGCAACCUAUUUAGAAGAAGAAAGAAGUAUACAAAGACUUAUGUUGUCAAAAAAUUUUCUUUGGAAGGUAACUUUUGUUCUUGUUUGAAAGAACUACAAUGCUUUAUUUAUAACUCUUAGCAAAUGGUCUAGCUCUGCCUCUGCAAGGGGGUGUAAUAUAGAAGACCUACCCUUAUGCAAGCCGAUUCUAUGGCCCCAUUCCAAUGACUUUUAGGUCACAAAGCGACACGUAUGUAAGCAGCCUACCCUAACACUGCUUCCAAUGCUCAAACCUGUGACCUAUAGAUCACAUGGAGAAUUGCAUAACUGCCACCAUCAACAACUAAUUCCACGACACAAACCUAUGACUGGCAUAUAUGUAAGCAACCUAUACGGAUGUGCAAGGAACAGUAUGACUUCGCAGCUCGAACUCGUGAGCUAUAAGUCACAUGUAAACUUUAUUGUCAGCCUAUCCUGCUGUUCAGGUACUAAUGAGUGAUUUGGAAGACUCGAGCUAACGAACAAUUGUCCUUGCUCCAAAGCCAGAGAAAAAUGAUUCUCCUAAUGUACAGAGUGUGAUGGUGCAGUAUACUUUCUUAAUUCUUACUAUUGAAAAGGGCAGCCCGUUGUGCUAAAGCUCCCGCUAUGCGCAGGGUUUGGGGAAGGGUCCCACCACAAGGGUGUAUUGUACGCAACUUUACCUUGCAUUUCUGGCAGAGGCUGUUUCCAAGGUUUGAUCUCGUAACCUCCUGGCCACAUGGCAACAACUUUAUCGGUUAAUCCAAGGCUCCCCUUCAAAAGCAGCGUCGACAAAAAUCGUUUGACUGGUGAAGGGGAAGAAUACCUUCAACUACUAGGGAUGGAUUUCAAAUAAAAAGAAAACAAUAAUAAUCAAGAGGAGUAUAGAACUAAUGUAUUCAUUUAUCCCAACUUCCCUCUUUGAGAGAACCAUAGAAAAGUACUCUUGAGCAGUUCCAUAGUCAUUUACAUUAGCAUUAGCAUUCCUUGAGUAUGAAGAAGAAUAUAUACGAGUGAAAACAAAGAAGAGACUCUCCAGGUCAAAAUUCCUAAAUGGUAUGUAGAACAAAAAGGAUUAGCGCUAUGUAUAUACUCGUAAAGCUUUACCAAUCGUUGCUUAUUCUGCUGCUGUCGAUGGUGCUUUGGCCAAACUGUUAGCAAUCAGUUCUUCUGAAGACGAAUCCUCAAACUUGGGGACAAAGCUCAUUGUGUAGUGGAACUCAAUUUGUAGGCGCUGAUGAAGGGGUGUCUAUGCCAUCAAUCCUUUCUUUACAUCAACUUGUAACUCCCUAAUAGGGAUUGCUGCCAAAAAACUCUUAAUGUACUCUUUACAUGCCUCUUUACCUAUAUAAAUGAUGUUCUUUUCAGAUACCUUGUCUUCCUGCAUACUGUCGUCGCUGUUGGUGCUCAUGAAAAUUUUGCUUUCAUCCGCAGCCUCUUUGACAUUGGUUUUCUCUUUUCUAUCGCAAGAUGGCUUAUCAUCUGAUUGUUGAGACUCACUAGGUGCUUGCAUAAUUGUUGUAUCAUGGUCGAAUUUGAUGAUAUAUGCCUGAUUACAACCCUCAAAAAGCAUCUCCCCAAGUGUGUCAAUGAUAUAGUACUCGUCUUUUUCAACCUUGAGGAUAAAGAAGUGGUCAUUCCAUCUCACAAUGUAAACACAAGAGAUGCCAUGACGAGGAGUUUCUUGAGCAGACUUAGAAAUCUCGUCCCAUAUGUUGUCAAAAGACAUGGAACCAUAAAGGAAGUGGAAUCCUUCCUCUUCUUCGAUUCCUUCGGGAUGAAAGAACCCAAUGAAUGAUUUUUCUAAGACGACUGAGAGUGGACGCACUUUAGCCUCAAGAACUGUCUCGAGGUCAAAAUGCUUAUCUGGGAAACGUUCCCUAUAGGUCUCAUUUUCACAAAGAUCCCUCCACUGCAUCGAGCCUUCACAGAUAAGAGAAUCAAGUUGGGAUUUGAUAGGCAUAUCUUCAGGAUUGCAGUGGAACGAAUCAGUUAUGACAGCAACCAAGUUUGUACAAGCGCUUUCACCAGUAGCUCGUUUACUUCGUUGAUCAAUCGAAGCAAAGAAGAUCGGAGUCUGCAGCUUUAUUUAUCCAUCACGGCUUAUUAUUUCUUUUUGCUCCCAACUACCCACAGCAAAACUUUCAUCUCAAAACUUAGAGACUGAAAUCGGAGAAGUUUCCUCAGAUUUGUGCCCCUGUAUGAACUACACACAUUAGUAAGAGGACUAGUUAUGACAUAUAUCUUCAAUCAUGAACAAGAAAACCUCAGCAGUUAGAUACUUGAUACAACUGUACAAGUAGACUAAGCUACUAAAGAAAGCUACCAAACUUUGUAUUCUUCAAUUCGGCAAGCACAUUGGUGUAUAAGUUAUUUCACGUUGAUCAGACCAUGACAAGAAGAUAAAAAAUGACUCGUCAAACAUGACAAAGAAAGCAAGAAAAAAAGAGACGUACCCUAGAAGAAGACUCGUUAGAUGAGCAAAGCUGUCGGCGAUCAAAUUCUAUAUCGUCUGCACCAUCCUCUCCAUAAUGUUUCUUCAACAAUGGCUCCCCCUUGAUUUUAGGAUAUUUGAAACUCAACUUUCUCUUCCUCCAGGCAAGAAGACUACGUUUUGAACUCUGCUCUGCAGAUUGAUUUGCUGCAGUUUUAUCCUCAAGGUACUUGUGCUUUGUGUCUGAAAUAUGAUGGCUGUAGUGGACUAAAUCCUCGUCACUGCUGCUGCUGCUUGUAUUUGAACAAAAUGAUCCACCAGCAUGGUUUGCAUAGACUGGUGCUUCAUAAUUGAAUGACUUCUGAACACUUGUAGCCUCAUUUUCUUUCUCAGAUUCUCGUACCGAAUCCAAAUCAAGUUAAUCGGUAUCCACAGGAUAAACAUAAUUGGGAUCCUCACUUCUGACUGAGUUCCUUCUAUCACUGCUGCUACCUUCCUCUGCAUGAUAUGCCUUCUUGUGUCACCUAAAGGAUAAUGCUUUUCAAAAUUUAACCUUUCGCAGACCUGCUUUUAAAGAACCACCCCCAUUUCUGUCUGUCAACAAAGCCUUUCCAGGGUUCGGAGAUACUGGAGCAGACAUGAUAAACUUCAGAAAUGUCUCUGAAGCUUCUUGAGCGUUCCUCAAUUCCACAAGGUUGAGCACUAGCUGUCAACAAAUAUAUGAACAUAUCUAUAGGAAACAGUCACAUUAGAUAAUAUAUUCAAGUAGCUGUAGGAAUACAAGAACGCAAGUAAAAAGCAUGUGUUUUAGUUUCUCUUACACAGACUGAAAGGCAAUUCUUGAAGCUGCCAACACAUACUUCCAAAGGAACGAAAAUUUCAAUGCACUCUUGUUUAUCUCCUGCUACUGAAGCAAAGUCUGCAAGAUUCAAUGUCACCGCAGAAAGUACGGGUACCUUCUGAUUUGGUCCUUUGCUUGUACCCUGAUUCAGCAGAAGUAUGAAUAAAUACAAAGAAUGGAGUAAAUGAACAAUGAAAUCGAACACAAAGACAACGUGUUCAAUGGAGAAAUUAGUGUUGAUGAAAAGCUAAAACCAAAACUAAAUGAUUAGAAGCACGAAAUAAUAGACCCAUGGAUUGGAAAACACAUGAUUAUCUUGAACGAUAGGUUCAAAGCAAUCAAAGGAACAUGCAGCUAAGGCCAAUGUUGUGCCUAUGGAAGAAGAACAAAUUGCUUCAGUCUCAAACAAGUUGAGAUAUAAGAAUUUACUAUUCCAUUUAAUCUCAGCACAUGUCAUCAUCAUACCAAAUAAAAAUACAAGCGAAAAUAAGUUAUAUAAAAAAAAUAAUUAAAACCUAUUUCCAACUAGUAGAUAUGGCCUAUAUGAGUCUUCAUACUACAUUGUGUAUGAUCUCGUGACCUCCUGGUCACAUGACAACAACUUUACCGGUUAAUCCAAGGCUCCCUUUCAAAAGGGGCAUCGAGAAAAUCGUUUGACUGGUGAAGGGGAAGAAUAAAUUCAACUACUAGGGAUGGUUUUCAAAUAAAAACAAAACAAUAAAAAUCAAGAGGAGUAUAGAACUAAUGUAUUCAUUUAUCUCAACUUCCCUCUUUGAGAGAACCAUAGAAAAGUACUUUUGAGUAGCUCCAUAGUCAUUUACAUUAGCAUUAGCAUUCCUCGAGUACGAAAAAGAAAAGACAAAGAAGAUACCGACGAUCUAGUUACACUCAUAUACGAAUGAAACAAAGAAGAGACUCUCCAUGUCAAAAUUCCUAAAUGGUAUGUAGAACAAAAAGGAUUAGCGCUAUGUAUAUACUCGUAAAGCUUUACCAAUCGUUGCUUAUUCUGCUGCUGCCGAUGGUGCUUUGGCCAAACUAUUAGCAAUCAGUUCUUCUGAAGACAACUCCUCAAACUUGGGGACAAAGCUCAUCUUGUAGUGGAACUCGAUUUGUAGGCACUGAUGAAGGGGUGUCAAUGCCAUCAAUCCUUUCUUUACAUCAUCUUGUAACUCCCUAAUAGGGAUUGCUGCCAAAAAACUCUUAAUGUACUCUUUACAUGCCUCUUUACCUAUAUAAAUGAUGUUCUUUUCAGGUACCCUAUUAAUUAAUAUUUUUCUUUCUACUGUUCAAGUAGAAAAAUACUCCUAAAAUAUGACUACUUUAUUAUUUAAUUAUUUUUUAUUAUAUUAACUAGAUUUCCUAAAAUAUAUGGUAGGAGAAUUAAUUAAUAUUUUCCUUUCUACUCGAUUUUCGUAGGAGAAUUAAUUAAUAAUUUUCUUUCUAUUGUUUGAUUAGAAAAAUACUCAUAAAAUAGGACUCUAUUAAGAAAAUACUCUAUAAAUAUUAAUUAUUUUAUUAUUUUACUUUAAUUUACAGAUGUUAGAUAAAUGUGGGUCGGCUUUGAAUUUUUUUUACAUAAAUGUUAGGUUAAUUGUAUUAUCGUAAUAUCUAUAUUAAUUUGUUAUUUAAUGAUAGUAUACAGUUUGUAAUACUCUAUAAAUAUUAAUUAUUUUAUUAUUUUACUUUAAUUUACAGAUGUUAGAUAAAUGUGGGUCGGCUUUGAAUUUUUUUUAAAAUAAAUGUUAGGUUUAAUUGUAUUAUCGUAAUAUCUAUAUUAAUUUGUUAUUUUGUGGUAGUUUACAGUUUGUAGAUGAAUCUCGAUCGGUUUUUAGAAAUUUUUAUGUGUAAAAUUUAAGUUUAAAUGUAUUAUUUUUAUAUCACUUUUAUCGUAUUAUUUUGUUGCAAUUUACAGGUGAUAGAUAAAUGUUGGUCCGCUUUGAGAAUUUUUUUAUGUAAAAGUUAGGUUUAGUUGUAUUAUUUUGAUAUCUCUAUUAUUGUAUUACUUUGUUAUUGUUUACAGAUGUUAGGUAAGUGUCGAACGAUUUUGAAAAUUUUUUUGUGUGUAAAGAAUAGAUUUAGUUGUGUUAUUUUGAUAUCUCUAUCAUUAUAUUAUUUUGUUAUAAUUUAUAGAUGGUAGAUGAAUGUCGAUCGGCUUUUAAAAAUAUUUUGGUAAAGAGUAGGUUUAAUAAAUAAAUUCUCCAUCUUUACAUACUUAAAAGAUAUUAGUUUUUUUCUUCAUUUUUUCUUUUGCUUUUUUUGUUUUCUCUUUUUUCUUUCUUUUUUCAAUUUUUUCUUUCUCGUUAUCUUUUUUCCAUUUUGUCUUUUUUUUUCUUUUUCUUUUUAUUUUUUCUCUUUUUUUUUGUUUUUGUACUAAUCAAUUAGAGAAAUACUCCUAAAAUAGUAUAGAAAAAUACUCCUAAAACAGGAUUCCACUAAGUAAAUACUUCUAUAAAUAUUAAGAUUCACGUUAAACUAGAGAAAAAACCAAUUUAAUUAUUGAAAAAAUAUGAUAGAUGCCCAUCUAACUUGAUUCAGUUGCAUGUCUAGAAUCGUGGAUGCUUAAUUUUCUAACUCUCAACUUCUUCACUAUUUUUGUCAACAUAAUAAAAUUCAACAUGUGUGUAUAUAUAUAUAUCUUCUUUGCUUUCAUUCAAGUCAUUCUUUAGUGUCAAAAUUUUUGCUCAGACAAGAAUUAUUUUCAUCAAAACUGAAGUUUUGUGAUCACUAUUGUAUUAUUUUAUUGUAGUUUACAGGUUGUAGAUGAAUUUACAGGUGGUAGAUGAAUGUUGGUCGGCUUUGAGAAUUUUUUUUGGGUGAGGGUUAGGUUUAAUUGCAUUGUUUUUAUAUCUCUGUUUUGCAAAAAUUUUUUGUGUAAAGGUAAAGUUUAGUUGUAUUAUUUUGAUAUCUCUAUUGUCAUAUUAUUUUGUUAUAGUUUACAAUUGAUAGACGAGUGUCAGAAGACUUUGAAUUUUUUUUUGUGUAAAGGUUAGAUUUAAUUAUAUUAUUUUGAUGUCUCUAUCAUCUUAUUGUUUUGUUGAUGUUUAUAGGUGGUAGAUGAAUGUCGAUCGGCUUUGAGAAAUUCUUUUGGUAAAGGCUAGGUUUAAUUAAAUCAAUUCUCCAAAAGAUGUUAAAUUUAAUUAUUGUAUUUAUCUUUAUUACUUAAACAAAUUUGAACUCGAUAAAGUGAGGUACACUAAACUAGUUUUAUAAUACAUGGUAACCCACUUUUACUAAUAUUAUUUACAACAGUGGCUUUUAUGGCUUUGAUUAUUUUUUUGAGAUAAGCAUCCAGUAUUUCCUCGAACUAUGGUCAAAGUUGUUACGACACACUCCAACUUCACAGAGAUCCUAUUUCCCCUGAACUCAAUUUUAGCAUAUUUUUGUCACUCUUUUAUGCUGAUGUAGCACGUUUAUUAUAUAAAAGCAGCUCCACGUCAAAGAUGCUAUGUCAGCUAAAAAGAUUGACAAAAGAUGUUAUGGUAGCACAAAAGAGUGACAAAAAUAUGCUAUAACUGAGUUCAAGGGUAAUAGGAUCCCCUGAAUUUGGAGUGUGUCGUAGCAAAUUUGGUCAUAGUUUAGGAGUAGUAGAUGCUUUACUCUAUUUUUUGAAAAAACUUGGUUUGAAUUUAGAUGCAGCCUAUUUAGAAGAAGAAAGAAGUAUACAAAGACUAUUGUUGUCAAAAAUUUUCUUUGAAGGUAACUUUUGUUCUUGUUUGAAAGUACUACAAUGCUUUAUUUAUAACUCUUAGCAAAUGGUCUAGCUCUGCCUCUGCAAGGGGGUGUAAUAUAGACGACCUACCCUUAUGCAAGCCGAUUCUAUGGCCCCAUUCCAAUGACUUUUAGGUCACAAAGCGACACGUAUGUAAGCAGCCUACCCUAACACUGCUUCCAAUGCUCAAACCUGUGACCUAUAGAUCACAUGGAGAAUUGCAUAACUGCCACCAUCAACAACUAAUUCCACGACACAAACCUAUGACUGGCAUAUAUGUAAGCAACCUAUACGGAUGUGCAAGUACCAGUAUGACUUCGCAGCUCGAACUCGUGAGCUAUAAGUCACAUGUAAACUUUAUUGUCAGCCUAUCCUGCUGUUCAGGUACUAAUGAGUGAUUUGGAAGACUCGAGCUAACGAACAAUUGUCCUUGCUCCAAAGCCAGAGAAAAAAGAUUCUCCUAAUGUACAGAGUGUGAUGGUGCAGUAUACUUUCUUAAUUCUUACUAUUGAAAAGGGCAGCCCGCUGUGCUAAAGCUCCCGCUAUGCGCAGGGUUUGGGGAAGGCCCCACCACAAGGGUGUAUUGUACGCAACCUUACCUUGCAUUUCUGGCAAAGGCUGUUUCCAAGGUUUGAUCUCGUGACCUCCUGGCCACAUGGCAACAACUUUAUCGGUUAAUCCAAGGCUCCCCUUCAAAAGCAGCGGCGACAAAAAUCGUUUGACUGGUGAAGGGGAAGAAUACCUUCAACUACUAGGGAUGGAUUUCAAAUAAAAAGAAAACAAUAAUAAUCAAGAGGAGUAUAGAACUAAUGUAUUCAUUUAUCCCAACUUCCCUCUUUGAGAGAACCAUAGAAAAGUACUCUUGAGUAGUUCCAUAGUCAUUUACAUUAGCAUUAGCAUUCCUUGAGUACGAAGAAGAAUAUAUACGAAUGAAAACAAAGAAGAGACUCUCCAGGUCAAAAUUCCUAAAUGGUAUGUAGAACAAAAAGGAUUAGCGCUAUGUAUAUACUCGUAAAGCUUUACCAAUUGUUCCUUAUUCUGCUGCUGUCGAUGGUGCUUUGGCCAAACUGUUAGCAAUCAGUUCUUCUGAAGACGAAUCCUCAAACUUGGGGACAAAGCUCAUUGUGUAGUGGAACUCAAUUUGUAGGCGCUGAUGAAGGGGUGUCGAUGCCAUCAAUCCUUUCUUUACAUCAACUUGUAACUCCCUAAUAGGGAUUACUACCAAAAAACUCUUAAUGUACUCUUUACAUGCCUCUUUACCUAUAUAAAUGAUGUUCUUUUCAGGUAGCCUGUCUUCCAGCAUACUGUCGUCGCUGUUGGUGCUCAUGAUAAUUUGCUUUCAUCCGCAACCUUUUUGACAUCGGUUUUCUCUUUUCUAUCGCAAGAUGGCUUAUCAUCUGAUUGUUGAGACUCACUAGGUGCUUGCAUAAUUGUUGUAUCUUGGUCAAAUUUGAGGAUAUAUGCCUGAUUACAACCCAAAAAAAACCUCUCCCCAAGUGUGUCAAUGAUAUAGUACGCGUCUUUUUCAACCUUGAGGAUAAAGAAGUGGUCAUUCCAACUCACAAUGUAAACACAGGAGAUGCCAUGACUAGGAGUUUCUUGAGCAGACUUGGAAAUCUCGUCCCAUAGGUUGUCAAAAGACAUGGAACCAUGAAGGAAGUGGAAUCCUUCCUCUUCUUCGAUUCCUUCGGGAUGAAAGAACCCAAUGAAUGAUUUUUCUAAGACUACUGAGAGUGGACGCACUUUAGCCUCGAGAACUGUCUCGAGGUCAAAAUGCUUAUCUAGGAAACGUUCCCUAUAGGUCUCAUUUUCACAAAGAUCCCUCCACUGCAUCGAGCCUUCACAGAUAAGAGAAUCAAGUUGGGAUUUGAUGGUCAUAUCUUCAGGAUUGCAGUGGAACCAAUCAGCUAUGACAUCAACCAAGGCUGUACAAGUGCUUUCACCAGCAGCUCGUUCACUUCAUUGAUCAAUCGAAGCAAAGAAGAUCGGAGUCUGCAGCUUCAUUUGUCCAUCACGACUUAUUAUUUCCUUCUGCUCCCAACUACCCACAACGAAAAUUUCAUCUCCAAACUCAGAGACUGAAAUUAGAGAAGUUUCCUCGGAUUUGUGCCCCUGUAUGAACUACACACAUUAGUAAGAGGACUAGUUAUGACAUAUAUCUUCAAUCAUGAACAAGAAAACCUCAGCAGUUAGAUAUUUGAUACAACUAUACAAGUAGACUAAGCUACUAAUGAAAGCUACCAAACUUUGUAAUCUUCAAUUCAGAAAGCACAUUGGUGUACAAGUUAUUGCACGUUGAUCAGACCAUGACAUAAAGAUAAAAAAUGACUCGUUAAAUAUGACAAAGAAAGCAAGAAAAAAGGAGACGUACCCUAGAAGAAGACUCGUCAGAUGGGCAAAGCUGUCGGCGAUCAAAGUCUAUAUCGUCUCCACCAUCCUCUCCAUAAUGUUUCUUCAACAAUGGCUCCCCCUUGGUUUUAGGAUAUUUGAAACUCAACUUCCUCUUCCUCCAGGAAAGAAGACUACGUUUUGAACUCUGCUCUACAGAUUGAUUUGCUGCAGUUCUAUCCUUAGGGUACUUGUGCUUUGUGUCUGAAAUAUGAUGGAUGUAGUGGACUAAAUCCUCGUCACUGCUACUACCGCUUGUAUUUGAACAAAAUGAUCCACCAGCAUGGUUUGCAUAGACGGGUGCUUCAUAACUAAAUGACUUCUAAACACUUGUAUCCUCUUUUCCUUCCUCAGAUUCUCGUACCGAAUCCUCAUCAAGUAAAUCUGUAUCCACAGGAUAAACAUAAUUGGGAUCCUCACUUUUGGCUGUCUAUCAACAAAGCCUUUCCAGGGUUCGGAGAUACUGGAGCAGACAUGAUAAACUUCGGAAAUGUCUCUGAAGCUUCGUGAGCGUUCCUCAAUUCCACAAGGUUGAGCAUUAGCUGUCAACAAAUAUAUGAACAUAUCUUUAGGAAAUGGUCGCAUCAGAUAAUAUAUUCACGUAGCUGCAGGAAUACAAGAACGCAAGCAAAAAGCAUGUGUUUUAGUUUCUCUUACACAGAGUGAAAGGCAAUUCUUGAAGCUGCCAACAGAGACUUCCAAAGGAACGAAAAUUUCAAUGCCCUCUUGUUUAUCUCCAGCUACUGAAGCAAAGUCUGCGAGAUUCAAUGUCGCAAAAGAAAGUACGGGUACCUUCUGAUUUGGUCCUUUGCUUGUACCCUGAUUCAGCAGAAGUAUGAAUAAAUACAAAGAAGGGAGUAAAUGAACAAUGAAAUCGAACACAAAGACAACAUGUUCAAUAGAGGAAUUAGUGUCGAUGAAAAGCUAAAACCAAAACUAAACGAUUAGAAGCACGAAAUAAUACACCUGUGGAUUGGAAAACACACGAUUAUCAUGAAUGAUAGGUUCAAAGCAGUCAAAGGAACAUGCAGCUAAGGCCAAUGUUGUGCCUAUGGAAGAAGAACAACUUGCUUCAGUCUUAAACAAGUUGAGGUAUAAGAAUUUACUAUUCCAUUUAAGCUCAGCACAUGUCAUCAUCAAACCAAAUAAAAAUACAAGCGAAAAUAAGUUACAUAAAAAAAUAAUUAAAACCUAUUUCCAACUAGUAGAUAUGGCCAAUAUGAGUCUUGAUACUACAUUGUGUCCUAUCUUUAACCAAGUCUGCACUGAUUUCAAGAAAUUAUAGGUCGUUCGAGACAACUUCUCUAGGUCUAUCUCGUCUCCUUUUAACACCUUGGUCACCAUGGUGUCACACCUACUAACCGGUGCAUCUGGAGGUCGCGGCAAGACGUUGAACCUGUGAAAGAAGUAGUCAUUAAAAAGUUCAAACCAUUUAUCAUUAACAACUCCUCCUAUUGUUUCUUCCCUUAAAAACCAAUUGGUUGAUGCACACAAAAACAACUUUGGGAAGGAACAAUCCUCAAGGUGCCUAAUCAUUUGCUACCAUUUUAUUUAAUAAUAGACUAUGCCCAUAAUGCUUCUUUUUUCCUUAUCCAGAAAGCACAGCUGUAUAUGUCUAAGAGAAAAAUAUGAAUGAAUACAGUAGGUCUCACCAUCCACCAUAUAACAUCAAAAUAAAUGAACCCCACAAGCUCAGAAAGUGAAUCCAUUGAAAUGCAAUCAUUACAUCCCAGAAGGCUUAAAAAACUUCUGACUCCCAGUGCAUGUCAGUAACAAUUUCUUAGACAUCAAUAUAACAAAGUUAAAACUCACUUUACGCCAGUAGCAUGUUGGAAAAUUAUACUGUGUAUAUAUAUUGGACACUUUAGGUGAAAUUCUUGGCUUUGCCACUGUUAAACUCACUAAGCUACUAGUACUCUAGGAGUAAUAAAACUCAGUAAAAACCAUAUUGAUGAUGAAUUUUAUUAAGCUUCUCUUGUUUAACAUGUCCUCUGGAGAGGCUCAUACAAAGGAUGCUGCAGUAUACUGAAUCACCAUGAUCAAAUUAUCAAAACUAAGCAUCAACCUAACCAAUAAAAGAAAAAAUAAGUAUCCUAAUUUGUGGAAAUUCAAGAAAUUUAUCAUCCCAUGAAGUUGUAUAACAUGACCAGGAUUCAUAAAACAAUACAAAUAGCACCCAAUUUCAAGACAACAAAGGUAUAAGCACUAGACAUUCAGAUAACGUACAGUUCUCAAUAACAGUCAUACCUCACUAUAUCAGAGACCUUCAACAAAAACAUUUCACUAUAACGGGCAUGUUUUCCGUGGAACCGAUUUUUCACGUUAUGUUAUAUUAUAUGUUCUCUAUAACAACAUUCCACUAUAGCAAUAAAAAAAUCCGAACAAGCGAUGCAGUUAUAGAGAGGUUUGACUGUAUAUCAACCUUCUCAAGGAGAAAUGAAUGCAUAGUUCCACUAAUACUAGGAAGUAAUCAAAUUCCCUAGAAUUGGAUUCAGAGUUCUUAUUUGAUAAGAAAACUCAAAGAUAAUUUUUUAAAAAUUCUUUUUCAAUGUCACUCAACAGCCAAAAUCCACAGCAACACACCUAAUGAAAUCUCACAAGUGGGGGUCUGGGAAAGGUAGGGAGAGUAGUGUACUCAGACCUUACCCCUAUCUCAAAGUGAGAGAGAAUGUUUCCGAUGGCCGAAAAAAAACAUUUCAAAACAGUCAACAACUAUAAACAAAAACAACAAAUAUUAUAAAAACAAAAACUAUAACAAAAUAAUAAGAUAUUUGAGAUACAAAAAAUAUUGUAUAGUAACAGAAAUCGAAGAACAAAAAACUACAGUAGCAAUACUACGACAACUAAUAAAAUAAAAAAUUAAGAAACUCACAUUGAUCACAGUAAAGACAACUUCCCAAGGCUGAAAAACACCAUAUUUCCAACCUGAAAAGUUACAAACACUCAGAAACUCAUCAUUCCAUUCAACAAUCCCUUCAUCUUCCUUCAAACACUCUUCUUUAGUAAAAUUCUUCUUUACACUUCUCCUAUUAAAUGACCCCAAAUUCAAUGAAAUACCCUUUGAUGAUCCCUUCCACUUAAUUUCAACUCUUAAUCUAUCAAAAUCUUGGACCCCCAUUUUCUCAUUUAACAAAAAGUUGAAACCUUUAAGGCAAUUCACAAUAAUCUUAUCCUCAUAUUUCUUUGAUGAUAAUAAUGGUGAGCAUGACAUCCACUUCAUCAUCUUCACAACCAUAUUAUAUAAAUAAACUUUUUCACCCACCCAACGGUGUCGCCUAGUGGUCAAUGAAAUAAGUCACAACUAUGACGUCACAGGUUCAAAUUCCAAUAAAGACAAGGCUCGAACACUACGAUUAUAAAAUAUAUAUAUAUAUAUAUAUGUAUAUUUUUUUCACCGACACAAAAUAAGAAAAUACCAAGAAAGAUCACUUUUUGUCUCAAAAAGACUUAAGGACUAGGAGUGUGCUUGUAGACACCGGGUCGUUUGGUACUUGAUGAAUAAACAGUAGUUACUAUAAAUAAGGAAAUAAAAUAAUUUUGAGAUAUAGUGAAUCCCAAGCUUUACGGUGAGAAAAUGAUUAAUUUUCUUAUAUGGCAUAUUAAAACAACUUCUCUAUAUCUUAUAUUAUUUCGAUUUAUUUUUAUUUGUCACGCUUGAUUUUGUUUUUUUUUUUUACUUUUUCCAUGAGGUAUAAGAGGUCGAAUAUAAUGGGUAUGAGGAAAGACGGGGGAAGCUAACUAAUAGUGAGGGGUUCAUCCAAAUAUUGAAUAAGAGGGAGUUGAAUAAGUUGUAAUCCUUUUCGUAUAAAUAUAAUUAAAAAAUAUAUUUUAAAAUAUUGAUCAACAUCAAUGCAAUUUAAUUCUCAAAAAAUAAAAUAUGACAAGUAAAUCAAAAGAAUAGAAUGAUAAUUUUAUCAAUAAAUANNNNNNNNNNNNNNNNNNNNNNNNNNNNNNNNNNNNNNNNNNNNNNNNNNNNNNNNNNNNNNNNNNNNNNNNNNNNNNNNNNNNNNNNNNNNNNNNNNNNNNNNNNNNNNNNNNNNNNNNNNNNNNNNNNNNNNNNNNNNNNNNNNNNNNNAAUUUAUUAUUUAAUUAUUUUUUAUUAUAUUAACUAGACUUCAUAAAAUAUAUGGGACUCCUAAAAUAUAUGGUAGGAGAAUUAAUUAAUAUUUUUCUUUCUACUGUUCAGUAGAAAAAUACUCCUAAAAUAUGACUAAUUUAUUAUUUAAUUAUUUUUUAUUAUAUUAACUAGACUUCCUAAAAUAUAAGGGACACUUAAAAUAUAUGGUAGGAGAAUUAAUUAAUAUUUUUUUUCUUUCUUCUGUUUGAUUAGAAAAAUACUCCUAAAAUAGGACUCUAUUAAGGAAAUACUCUAUAAAUAUUAUUUAUCUUAUUAUUUUAAUUUAAUUUACACAUGUUAGAUAAAUAUGGGUCGGCUUUGAAUAUUUUUAUUCAUAAAUGUUUGGUUUAAUUGUAUUAUCUUAAUAUCUAUAUUAAUUUGUUAUUUUGUGGUAGUUUACAGUUCGUAGAUGAAUCUCGAUCGGUUUUGAGAAAUUUUUAUGUGUAAAAUUUAAGUUUAAUUAUAUUAUUUUUAUAUCACUUUUAUCAUAUUAUUUUGUUGCAAUUUACAGGUGAUAGAUAAAUGUUGGCCGGCUUUGAGAAAUUUUUUAUGUAAAGGUUAAGUUUAGUUGUAUUAUUUUGAUAUCUCUAUUAUUGUAUUACUUUGUUAUUGUUUACAGAUGUUAGGUGAGUGUCGGACGACUUUGAGAAAUUUUUUGUGUGUAAAGAUUAGAUUUAGUUGUGUUAUUUUGAUAUCUCUAUCAUUGUAUUAAUUUGUUAUAAUUUAUAAAUGGUAGAUGAAUGUCGAUCGACUUUUAAAAAUAUUUUGGAAAAGAUUAGGUUUAAUAAAUAAAUUCUCCAUCUUUACAUACUCAAAAGAUAUUAUUUUUUUCUUCAUUUUUUCUUUUGAUUUUUUUGUUUUCUCUUUUUUCUUUCUCAUUAUCUUUUUUCCAUUUUGUCUUUUUUUUUUUCUUCUUUUUUUUUUUUUUUUUUUUUUUUUUUUUUGUACUGAUCAAUUAGAGAAAUACUCCUAAAGUACGAUAGAAAAAUACUCCUAAAAUAGGAUUCCACUAAGUAAAUACUUCUAUAAAUUUUAAGAUGCACGUUAAACUAGAGAAAAAAAUAAUUUACUUAUUGGAAAAAUAUGAUAGAUGCUCAUCUAACUUGAUUCAGUUGCUUGUUUAGAUUCGUGGAUGCUUAAUUUUCUAACCCUCAAUUUCUUCACUAUUUUUGUCAACAUAAUAAAAUUCAAUGUGUGUGUGUAUAUAUAUAUAUAUAUUCUUUGCUUUUAUUCAAGUCAUUCUUCAGUGUCAAAAUUUUUGCUCAGACAAGAAUUAUUUUCAUCAAAAAUGAAGUUUUGUGAUCACUAUUGUAUUAUUUUGUUGUAGUUUAUAGGUUGUAGAUGAAUUUAUAGGUGGUAGAUGAAUGUUGGUCGGCUUUGAGAAUUUUUUUUUGGUGAGGGUUAGGUUAAAUUGCAUUAUUUUUAUAUCUGUGUUUUGCAAAAAAAAAUUUUGUAAAGGUAAAGUUUAGUUGUAUUAUUUUGAUAUCUCUAUUGUCAUAUUAUUUUGUUAUAGUUUACAGGUGAUAGAUGAGUGUCGGACGACUUUGAAUUUUUUUUAGUGUAAAGGUUAGAUUUAAUUAUAUUGUUUUGAUGUCUCUAUCAUCUUAUUGUUUUGUUGCAAUUUCCAGGUGGUAGAUGAAUGUCAAUCGACUUUGAGAAAUUCUUUUGGUAAAGGCUAGGUUUAAUUAAAUCAAUUCUCCAAAAGAUGUUAAAUUUAAUUAUUGUAUUUAUCUUUAUUAUUUAAACAAAUUUGAACUCAAUAAAGUGAGGUACACUAAACUGGUUUUAUAAUACAUGGUAACCCACUUUUACUAAUAUUAUUUACAACAGUGGCUUUUAUGGCUUUGAUUAUUUUUUUGAGAUAAGCAUCCAGUAUUGCCUAGAACUAUGGUCAAAGUUGUUACGACACACUCCAACUUCAUAGAGAUCCUAUUACCCCUGAACUCAAUUUUAGCAUAUUUUUGUCACUCUUUCUUGCUGACGUAGCACCUUUAUUAUAUAAAAGGGGUUUCACGUCAAAGAUGCCACGUCAGCUAAAAAGAUUGACAAAAGAUGUUACGGCAGCACAAAAAGGUGACAAAAAUACGCUAUAAUUGAGUUCAGGGGUAAUAGGAUCCCCUGAAUUUGGAGUGUGUCGUAGCAAAUUUGGUCAUAAUUUAGGGGUAGUAGAUGCUUUACUCUAUUUUUUGAAAAAAAUUGGUUUGAAUUUAGAUGCAUCCUAUUUAGAAGAAAGAAGUAUACAAAGACUAUUGUUGUUUAAAAAUUUUCUUUGAAAAGUAACUUUUGUUCUUGUUUGAAAGAACUAUAAUGCUUUAUUUAUAACUCUUAACUAAUGAUCUGGCUCUGCCUCUGCAAGGGGGUGUAAUAUAGACAACCUACCCUUAUGCAAGCCGAUUCUAUGGCCCCGUUACAAUGACUUAUAGGUCACAAAGUGACGUGUAUGUAAGCAGCCUACCCUACCCUAACACUGCUUCCAAUGCUCAAACCUUUGACCUAUAGAUCCCAUGGAGAAUUACAUAACCGCCACCAUCAACAACUGAUUCCGCGACACAAACCUAUGACUGGCAUAUAUGUAAGCAACCUAUACGGAUGUGCAAGUACCAGUCUGACUUCGUAGCUCGAACUCGUGAGCUAUAAGUCACACGUAAAAUUUAUUGUCAGCCUAUCCUGUUGUUCAAGUACUAAUGAGUGAUUUGGACGACUCGAGCUCACGCACAAUUGUCCUUGCUCCAAAGCCAGAGAAAAAUGAUUCUCCUAAUGUACAGAGUGUGAUGGUGCAGUAUACAUUCUUAAUUCGUACUAUUGAAAAGGGCAGCCCGCUGUGCAAAAGCUCCAGCUAUGCGCAAGGUUUGGGGAAGGGCCCCACCACAAGGGUGUAUUGUACGCAGCCUUACCUUGAAUUUCUGACAGAGGCUGUUUCCAAGGUUUGAUCUCGUGACCUCCUAGUCACAUGGCAACAACUUUACCAGGUAAUCCAAGGCUCCCCUUCAAAAGCAGCGUCGACGAAAAUCGUUUGACUGGUGAAGGGGAAGAAUACCUUCAACUACUAGGGAUGGUUUUCAAAUAAAAACAAAACAAUAAUAAUCAAGAGGAGUAUAGAACUAAUGUAUUCAUUUAUCUCAACUUCCCUCUUUGAGAGAACCAUAGAAAGUACUCUUGAGCAGUUCCAUAGUCAUUUACAUUAGCAUUAGCAUUCCUUGAAUAUGAAGAAGAAAAUAUACGAAUGAAAACAAAGAAGAGACUCUCCAGGUCAAAAUUCCAAAAUGGUAUGUAGAACAAAAAGGAUUAGCGCUAUGUAUAUACUCAUUAAGCUUUACCAAUCGUUGCUUAUUCUGCUGUUACCGAUGGUACUAUGGCUAAAAUGUUAGCAAUCAGUUCUAGCAGUCGCCAUGACGAGGAGUUUCUUGAGCAGACUUAGAAAUCUCAUCCCAUAUGUUGUCAAAAGACAUGGAACCAUGAAGGAAGUGGAAUCCUUCCUCUUCUUCGAUUCCUUCAAGAUGAAAGAACCCAAUGUAUGAUUUUUCUGAGACUACUGAGAAUGGACGCACUUUAGCCUCGAGAACUAUCUCGAGGUCAAAAUGCUUAUCUGGGAAACGUUCCCUAUAGGUCUCGUUUCACAAAGAUCCCUGCACUGCAUCGAGCCUUCACAGAUAAGAGAAUCAAGUUGGGACUUGAUGGGUAUAUCUUCAGGAUUGCAGUGGAACCAAUCAGCUAUGAUAGCAACCAAGGUUGUACAAGCGUUUUCACCAGCAGCUCGUUUACUUUGUUGAUCAAUCGAAGCAAAGAAGAUUUGAGCCUGCAGCUUCAUUUGUCCAUCAUGGCUUAUUAUUUCUUUCUGCUCCCAACUACCCACAGCAAACUUUUAUCUCCAAACUCAGAGACUGAAAUCGGAAAAGUUUCCUCCAAUUUGUACCCCUGCAUGAACUACACACAUUAGUAAGAGGACUAUUUAUGACAUAUAUUUUCAAUCAUGAACAAGAAAACCUCAACAGUUAGAUACUUGAUACAACCGUACAAGUAGACUAAGCUACUAAAGAAAGCUACUAAACUUUGUAAUCUUCAAUUCGGCAAGCACAUUGGUGUAGUUAUUGCACGUUGAUCAGACCAUGACAUGAAGAUAAAAAAAGACUCUUCAAACAUGACAGACGUACCCUAGAAGAAGACUCGUUAGAUGAGCAAAGCUGUCGGCGAUCAAAGCCUUUAUCGUCUGCACCAUCCUCUCCAUAAUGUUUCUUCAACAAUGGCUCCCCCUUGGUUUUAGGAUAUUUGAAACUCAACUUCCUCUUCCUCUAGGAAAGAAGACUACGUUGUGAACUCUGCUCUGCAGAUUGAUUUGCUGUAGUUUUAUCCUCAGGGUACUUGUGCUUUGUGUCUGAAAUAUGAUGGUUGUAGUGGACUAAAUCCUCGUCACUGCUGCUGCCGCUUGUAUUUGAACAAAAUGAUCCACCAGCAUGGUUUGCAUAGACGAGUGUUUCACAACUGAAUGACUUCUGAACACUUGUACCCUCUUUUCCUUCCUCAGAUUCUCCUACCAAAUCCUCAUCAAGUGAAUCUGUAUCCACAGGAUAAACAUAAUUGGGAUCCUCACUUCUGACUGAGUUCCUUCCAUCACUGUUGCAGCCUUCCUCUGCAUGAUAUGCCUUCUUGUGUCGCCUAAAAGAUAAUGCUUUCAAAAACUUAACAUUUCACAGACCUGCUUUUAAAGAACCACCCCCAUUUAUGUCUGUCAACAAAGCCUUUUCAGGGUUCGGAGAUACUGGAGCAGACAUGAUAAACUUUGGAAAUGUCUCUAAAGCUUCGUGAGCGUUCCUCAAUUCCAUAAGGUUGAGCACUAACUGUCAACAAAUAUAUGAACAGAUCUUUAGGAAACAGUCGCAUUAGAUAAUAUAUUCACGUAGCUGAAGGAAUACAAGAACGCAAGCAAAAAGCAUGUGUUUUAGUUUCUCUUACACAGUGUGAAAGGCAACUCUUGAAGCUGCCAACAGAGACUUCCAAAGGAACAAAAAUUUCAAUGUCCUCUUGUUUAUCUCCAGCUACUGAAGCUAAGUCUGCAAGAUUCAAUGUCGCAGAAGAAAGUACGGGUACCUUCUGAUUUGGUCCUUUGCUUGUACCCUGAUUCAGCAGAAGUAUGAAUAAAUACAAAGAAGGGAGUAAAUGAACAAUGAAAUCGAACACAAAGACAACGUGUUCAAUAGAGAAAUUAGUGUCGAUGAAAAGCUAAAACCAAAACUAAAGGAUUAGAAGCACGAAAUGAUACACCCGUGGAUUGGAAAACACACGAUUAUCAUGAACGAUAGGUUCAAAGCAGUCAAAGGAACAUGCAGCUAAGGCCAAUGUUGUGCCUAUGGAAGAAGAACAACUUGUUUCAGUCUCAAACAAGUUGAGAUAUAAGAAUUUACUAUUCCAUUUAAGCUCAACACAUGUCAUCAUCAAAC